rnacentral:rRNA from 1 species
ACAAGCGGUGGAGUAUGUGGUUUAAUUCAAUGCAACGCGAAGAACCUUACCUGGUCUUGACAUCCCGGAGACCCUUAGGAAACUAGGGGGUGCUUCCAUCUGGAAGAAUCUGGAGACAGGUGCUGCAUGGCUGUCGUCAGCUCGUGUCGUGAGAUGUUGGGUUAAGUCCCGCAACGAGCGCAACCCUUGCCUUUAGUUGCCAGCAGUUCGGCUGGGCACUCUAAAGGGACUGCCGGUGUUAAACCGGAGGAAGGUGGGGAUGACGUCAAGUCCUCAUGGCCUUUAUGACCAGGGCUACACACGUACUACAAUGGCCGAUACAAAGGGCAGCGACACUGCGAGGUGAAGCCAAUCCCGUAAAAUCGGUCUCAGUCCGGAUUGGAGUCUGCAACUCGACUCCAUGAAGUUGGAAUCGCUAGUAAUCGUGGAUCAGCAUGCCACGGUGAAUACGUUCCCGGGCCUU